UUUUUUACCGCUUUUGUGGUUAGAGCAUCUGCCUCGGAUGUGGGAGGUCGCGGGUUCAAACACCGGCUGAAUAAU